ACGGCCGUACCAUGCUGAAUAUACCGGUUCUCGUUAGAUCACCGAAGUCAAGCAUCAUUGGGCGCGGUCAGUACUUGGGUGGGUGACCACUUGGGAACACCGCGUGCCGUU
rnacentral:rRNA from 1 species